rnacentral:rRNA from 1 species
GACGAACGCUGGCGGCGUGCCUAAUACAUGCAAGUCGAGCGAGAUUAUUUGAGUGCUUGCACUCGAAUAAUCUAGCGGCGGACGGGUGAGUAACACGUGGGCAACCUGCCCUACAGUUUGGGAUAACUCCGGGAAACCGGGGCUAAUACCGAAUAAUCCUUCGAAUCACAUGGUUUGAAGUUGAAAGGCGCUUCGGCGUCGCUGUAGGAUGGGCCCGCGGUGCAUUAGCUAGUUGGUGGGGUAAUGGCCUACCAAGGCAACGAUGCAUAGCCGACCUGAGAGGGUGAUCGGCCACAUUGGGACUGAGACACGGCCCAAACUCCUACGGGAGGCAGCAGUAGGGAAUCUUCCACAAUGGACGAAAGUCUGAUGGAGCAACGCCGCGUGAGUGAUGAAGGUUUUCGGAUCGUAAAACUCUGUUGUAAGGGAAGAACAAGUGCGUUAGGUAAUGAACGCACCUUGACGGUACCUUAUUAGAAAGCCACGGCUAACUACGUGCCAGCAGCCGCGGUAAU